GGAAACUUCCUGAGAAAAACAGACGACUCCCUCACAGACCGGGUCCACAUCCAGAGACGGAGACCAGGGUUCAGGUCCUGAGAAAAACAGACUGUACCACCACCGACAGAGAGGGGAGGGGUCUGAUGUCACCGAGGGUUGGAAAAUUAUGACGUAAACCUUCGGCAUGUAGAGCAUCCCAAGAGAGACGGACGCACUGAGAGACAUGGACACGGUCAGAGUCAUCGUCUGGAUAAACAUCUGGAGAGACAGAGACAAUAUAAACAUCUGGAGAGACCAUAUUGACACAGCGGCCAUUUUCCUGUGACGUCACAUUGAGGGUGUGAAGCUGAAACGCCGUUAUGGGCAGAAUAAUGUCGCCCUGCUGUGAUCCAGGUUUAUAAGUCGUAUUUCACUGCUUCCUGUCUGAUCAGCUACUGAAGAGACUAUGGACAUCAGACCAUAUUUGAUAAGGAUGCUAAGGGAUUUGCUAAGGCCUUUUUUUUUAUAAACUAACAUCUGUGAAACUUGUGAGAGGAUGUCACAGAGACAUGAGAGGUGGUUUGAUGUCAAUAAAUUCAUAAAUGAGGGAGCGAUUGUAAAUUCACGUGGAGCUAAUGGAGAAAACUGACGAAAAAUGAAUGAAAAUGACAUCACCCCGGAAUAUCUAGCUGGUAUAGUUUUUACCUCCCGCAACAGCUUGGUGACAUCUUACCUUCUCGGUGGACUGGGCAGUACCAAAGAAAAUGGGUACGAAGGCGAGCCAAACGAUACAGGUGGUGUACAUCGUGAAACCGAUCGGCUUUGCCUCAUUAAACGUCUCUGGGACACCUCGACUCUUCACUGCAUACACGGUACAUGUCACCUGGCAACAGAAAUGCAACAUGUUACCAUGCCACAAGAAUAAAAGAGGUUACUUAGCAACAUGGCCA